AGAGUUUGAUCCUGGCUCAGAUUGAACGCUGGCGGCAGGCCUAACACAUGCAAGUCGAGCGGAAACGAGUUAUCUGAACCUUCGGGGAACGAUAACGGCGUCGAGCGGCGGACGGGUGAGUAAUGCCUAGGAAAUUGCCUUGAUGUGGGGGAUAACCAUUGGAAACGAUGGCUAAUACCGCAUAACGCCUACGGGCCAAAGAGGGGGACCUUCGGGCCUCUCGCGUCAAGAUAUGCCUAGGUGGGAUUAGCUAGUUGGUGAGGUAAUGGCUCACCAAGGCGACGAUCCCUAGCUGGUCUGAGAGGAUGAUCAGCCACACUGGAACUGAGACACGGUCCAGACUCCUACGGGAGGCAGCAGUGGGGAAUAUUGCACAAUGGGCGCAAGCCUGAUGCAGCCAUGCCGCGUGUAUGAAGAAGGCCUUCGGGUUGUAAAGUACUUUCAGCAGUGAGGAAGGUUCAUGCGUUAAUAGCGUAUGGAUUUGACGUUAGCUGCAGAAGAAGCACCGGCUAACUCCGUGCCAGCAGCCGCGGUAAUACGGAGGGUGCGAGCGUUAAUCGGAAUUACUGGGCGUAAAGCGCAUGCAGGUGGUUUGUUAAGUCAGAUGUGAAAGCCCGGGGCUCAACC
rnacentral:rRNA from 1 species